UGGGGAAUCUUGCACAAUGGGCGAAAGCCUGAUGCAGCAACGCCGCGUGCGGGAAGAAGGCCCUCGGGUUGUAAACCGCUUUCAGAAGGAACGAAACUGACGGUACUUUCAGAAGAAGGUGCGGCCAACUACGUGCCAGCAGCCGCGGUGACACGUAGGCACCAAGCGUUGUCCGGAUUUAUUGGGCGUAAAGAGCUCGUAGGCGGUUCAGUAAGUCGGGUGUGAAAACUUUGGGCUUAACCCAAAGCGUGCAUCCGAUACUGCUGUGACUUGAGUACGGUAGGGGAGCGGGGAAUUCCUAGUGUAGCGGUGAAAUGCGCAGAUAUUAGGAGGAACACCGGUGGCGAAGGCGCCGCUCUGGGCCGAAACUGACGCUGAGGAGCGAAAGCAUGGGUAGCAAACAGGAUUAGAUACCCACGUAGUCCCUGAG
rnacentral:rRNA from 1 species